GGUUAAGCGACUAAGCGUACACGGUGGAUGCCCUGGCAGUCAGAGGCGAUGAAGGACGUGCUAAUCUGCGAUAAGCGUCGGUAAGGUGAUAUGAACCGUUAUAACCGGCGAUUUCCGAAUGGGGAAACCCAGUGUGAUUCGUCACACUAUCAUUAACUGAAUCCAUAGGUUAAUGAGGCGAACCGGGGGAACUGAAACAUCUAAGUACCCCGAGGAAAAGAAAUCAACCGAGAUUCCCCCAGUAGCGGCGAGCGAACGGGGAGCAGCCCAGAGCCUGAAUCAGUGUGUGUGUUAGUGGAAGCGUCUGGAAAGGCGCGCGAUACAGGGUGACAGCCCCGUACACAAAAAUGCACAUGCUGUGAGCUCGAUGAGUAGGGCGGGACACGUGGUAUCCUGUCUGAAUAUGGGGGACCAUCCUCCAAGGCUAAAUACUCCUGACUGACCGAUAGUGAACCAGUACCGUGAGGGAAAGGCGAAAAGAACCCCGGCGAGGGGAGUGAAAAAGAACCUGAAACCGUGUACGUACAAGCAGUGGGAGCACGCUUAGGCGUGUGACUGCGUACCUUUUGUAUAAUGGGUCAGCGACUUAUAUUCUGUAGCAAGGUUAACCGAAUAGGGGAGCCGAAGGGAAACCGAGUCUUAACUGGGCGUUAAGUUGCAGGGUAUAGACCCGAAACCCGGUGAUCUAGCCAUGGGCAGGUUGAAGGUUGGGUAACACUAACUGGAGGACCGAACCGACUAAUGUUGAAAAAUUAGCGGAUGACUUGUGGCUGGGGGUGAAAGGCCAAUCAAACCGGGAGAUAGCUGGUUCUCCCCGAAAGCUAUUUAGGUAGCGCCUCGUGAAUUCAUCUCCGGGGGUAGAGCACUGUUUCGGCAAGGGGGUCAUCCCGACUUACCAACCCGAUGCAAACUGCGAAUACCGGAGAAUGUUAUCACGGGAGACACACGGCGGGUGCUAACGUCCGUCGUGAAGAGGGAAACAACCCAGACCGCCAGCUAAGGUCCCAAAGUCAUGGUUAAGUGGGAAACGAUGUGGGAAGGCCCAGACAGCCGGGAUGUUGGCUUAGAAGCAGCCAUCAUUUAAAGAAAGCGUAAUAGCUCACUGGUCGAGUCGGCCUGCGCGGAAGAUGUAACGGGGCUAAACCAUGCACCGAAGCUGCGGCAGCGACGCUUAUGCGUUGUUGGGUAGGGGAGCGUUCUGUAAGCCUGUGAAGGUGUGCUGUGAGGCAUGCUGGAGGUAUCAGAAGUGCGAAUGCUGACAUAAGUAACGAUAAAGCGGGUGAAAAGCCCGCUCGCCGGAAGACCAAGGGUUCCUGUCCAACGUUAAUCGGGGCAGGGUGAGUCGACCCCUAAGGCGAGGCCGAAAGGCGUAGUCGAUGGGAAACAGGUUAAUAUUCCUGUACUUGGUGUUACUGCGAAGGGGGACGGAGAAGGCUAUGUUGGCCGGGCGACGGUUGUCCCGGUUUAAGCGUGUAGGCUGGUUUUCCGGGCAAAUCCGGAAAAUCAAGGCUGAGGCGUGAUGACGAGGCACUACGGUGCUGAAGCAACAAAUGCCCUGCUUCCGGGAAAAGCCUCUAAGCAUCAGGUAACAUCAAAUCGUACCCCAAACCGACACAGGUGGUCAGGUAGAGAAUACCAAGGCGCUUGAGAGAACUCGGGUGAAGGAACUAGGCAAAAUGGUGCCGUAACUUCGGGAGAAGGCACGCUGAUAUGUAGGUGAAGCGACUUGCUCGUGGAGCUGAAAUCAGUCGAAGAUACCAGCUGGCUGCAACUGUUUAUUAAAAACACAGCACUGUGCAAACACGAAAGUGGACGUAUACGGUGUGACGCCUGCCCGGUGCCGGAAGGUUAAUUGAUGGGGUCAGCGCAAGCGAAGCUCUUGAUCGAAGCCCCGGUAAACGGCGGCCGUAACUAUAACGGUCCUAAGGUAGCGAAAUUCCUUGUCGGGUAAGUUCCGACCUGCACGAAUGGCGUAAUGAUGGCCGGGCUGUCUCCACCCGAGACUCAGUGAAAUUGAACUCGCUGUGAAGAUGCAGUGUACCCGCGGCAAGACGGAAAGACCCCGUGAACCUUUACUAUAGCUUGACACUGAACAUUGAGCCUUGAUGUGUAGGAUAGGUGGGAGGCUUUGAAGUGUGGACGCCAGUCUGCAUGGAGCCGACCUUGAAAUACCACCCUUUAAUGUUUGAUGUUCUAACGUUGACCCGUAAUCCGGGUUGCGGACAGUGUCUGGUGGGUAGUUUGACUGGGGCGGUCUCCUCCUAAAGAGUAACGGAGGAGCACGAAGGUUGGCUAAUCUGGUCGGACAUCAGGAGGUUAGUGCAAUGGCAUAAGCCAGCUUGACUGCGAGCGUGACGGCGCGAGCAGGUGCGAAAGCAGGUCAUAGUGAUCCGGUGGUUCUGAAUGGAAGGGCCAUCGCUCAACGGAUAAAAGGUACUCCGGGGAUAACAGGCUGAUACCGCCCAAGAGUUCAUAUCGACGGCGGUGUUUGGCACCUCGAUGUCGGCUCAUCACAUCCUGGGGCUGAAGUAGGUCCCAAGGGUAUGGCUGUUCGCCAUUUAAAGUGGUACGCGAGCUGGGUUUAGAACGUCGUGAGACAGUUCGGUCCCUAUCUGCCGUGGGCGCUGGAGAACUGAGGGGGCUGCUCCUAGUACGAGAGGACCGGAGUGGACGCAUCACUGGUGUUCGGGUUGUCAUGCCAAUGGCACUGCCCGGUAGCUAAAUGCGGAAGAGAUAAGUGCUGAAAGCAUCUAAGCACGAAACUUGCCCCGAGAUGAGUUCUCCCUGACUCCUUGAGAGUCCUGAAGGAACGUUGAAGACGACGACGUUGAUAGGCCGGGUGUGUAAGCGCAGCGAUGCGUUGAGCUAACCGGUACUAAUGAACCGUGAGGCUUAACCUU
rnacentral:rRNA from 1 species